UUAAAACGUCGUGAGACAGUUUGGUCCCUAUCUUUCGUGGGCGUAGGAUAUUUGAGAGGAGCUGUUCCUAGUACGAGAGGACCGGAAUGGACGAACCAAUGGUGCUCCAGUUGUCGCGCCAGCGGCAUGGCUGGGUAGCUAAGUUCGGAAAGGAUAACCGCUGAAAGCAUCUAAGCGGGAAGCCCACCUCAAGAUUAUAUAUCCCUUAAGUAUGGAAACAUACUUAACUGAAGACCCCUUGAAGACUACAAGGUUGAUAGGCCAGGUGUGUAAGUGUGGCAACACAUUUAGCUUACUGGUACUAAUAGGUCGUGCGGCUUGGCCAU
rnacentral:ncRNA from 1 species